GGUCCAGACUCCUACGGGAGGCAGCAGUGAGGAAUAUUGGUCAAUGGACGAGAGUCUGAACCAGCCAAGUAGCGUGAAGGAUGACUGCCCUAUGGGUUGUAAACUUCUUUUAUAUGGGAAUAAAACAGGGUAUGCAUACCCUCUUGUAUGUACCAUAUGAAUAAGGAUCGGCUAACUCCGUGCCAGCAGCCGCGGUAAUACGGAGGAUCCGAGCAUUAUCCGGAGUGACUGGGUGUAAAGAGUUGCGUAGGUGGCAUAAUAAGUAGCUAGUGAAAUCUGGUGGCUCAACCAUUCAGACUAUUAGCUAAACUGUUAAGCUCGAGACCGUUAGGGGUAACUGGAAUUUCUAGUGUAGGAGUGAAAUCCGUAGAUAUUAGAAAGAACACCGAUAGCGUAGGCAGGUUACUGGGACGGUUCUGACACUAAGGCACGAAAGCGUAGGGAGCAAACGGGAUUAGAUACCCCCGUA
rnacentral:rRNA from 1 species